AUAAAACAGUCGAAACAUAAAUAGAAGCAGAUGUCCCAAAUAAGAAACAAGUUUAAUUACAGUGAUAAGCACUCACAUAACCAAUGUAGGGUGCUUAUACUGACCUUAAAUCCACUAUCUAGUCAAUGGAAAAAGGACAUUGCAGAAUGUUUCAACAAGUUCCCUGGUCUUUAUCAAGUCAUCACUGGUUAGUCGAAACAUUGUCACUGCCGAUGUGUAUCUGCAAAGAAAGGUUUGCUCCUGGCUCCUUGUUUGAGCAGGUCUUACUUCACCUGUAAAUAUCCCUUCUUUAUAAUUUGAAAGCGCUGUGGAAUAUGGUGGCGCUAUAUAAACAAUAAUAGUAACAUCCUCGUAAACCUCCAUCUCUGUAUUACUACAGUUUUUGACACUGUUCUGUAUACUGUUCAUUUUAAAGGUGCAAUUCCUAAAAAAAUUGAAGUGGAAAACUAUGCACAACUGCUCUUAACAAGGCUGAAUGAAAUUCCACCUAUAGAGUUUUAGAAUUUUUUUUCUAAACAGAUAAUUGAAAAAAUAAGGUGAAGAGAAUAAUGUGUUGCAAAAUGAGAAAAUUGCAGAAGUGUCAUAUUUUUGUAACAAUUCUUACAGGUACACUACAGGCUGUAGUUGACACCAUUAUUAAAGCAUUUCAAAAUAUGUUAACAAUUUAAAAAGUUUCUUGUCUAGGAAGUUCCUGCAUUUGUUGAAGUCCUCAAUCUUUGCCCAAACUACCCUGACAUCUCUGAGCCAAAUCUAGCUUUCCCAUUGUUUUCAAUGGGUAUUGAGCACAUCCCAUUAACGAAUAACCUGUCUGUGCAUAAGCAGGAAUAGAAGCAGAAAUCCCAAAUAAGGUCUAGAAACAGAUUGAAAUAUAGUGAUAAUCACUCACAUACCCAAUGUAGCACGCUUACCCCAAAUCCACUAUUUAGUAAACGUUAAAAGGACAUGUUCUAACCAGUUCCCUGGUCUUUAUCAAAUUCUCACUUCAUGAAGACCAUUCGAUUAGUCGAAACAUUGUCACUGCAAAAGUGUGUAGCGGAUGGCACUGGGCUGUCCUGAGAAUUACAUGUAUUUGAAUGCAUUUGUGUAAAAUAGCAAAGUUCUAUGUGUUAAAUGUAUUGUAUUCUUCUGAAUGUUAGGUAGUUUCAUUCCCUUUGUUCGAAUGAAACUACCGAACAGUCAGACCUCCCCUGUGGGAAGUGUGCCUUCGAUUACCCGUUGCAACAUUGUUGUGAAUGGGUAAUUGACAUGCUGAGUAGCCGUCCU